UCCUUCUCAGGGUCACACCUGGAGAGUUCCCAGGACUCUACCAGUCUCGACUACAGGAGGGAGAGUCAGGCAGAGGUAUACUCAUUCCAUUCCUAGCUUAGGCAGAAGCUAGCAAGUGGCAGGCAAUCUGCUACAAGU